UCAUUCUGUCAAAGAAGUGCAAUAACUAGAACCCAUGACCGUGAGGGAUCGCAUGUUUGGGAAGAAUUCGUUUCUUGCAACCGCUGCAAAUCAGUUUGUUUUGAAACGUCGGGGAGCGAGGACGAGUCUGCUCGGUCUUCGAAGAAAUUCGUUCGACGCGUUCAAGAUUGAAGUCAUUUAAGUGGUCCUGAUCACCGGCAGGCUGGACACAACGACUGAGGGACGGAGACAACGAACUUUGUGCUUCAUGCACGAACGUUGAUGCGUGAAUUAGAGGAGCCGAGAGUGCAUUUUACACCUGGAUUACACAAGCAAGUUACGUCAAGCGAUGUCGUAAAUGGGUGAGUCAAUCGUCUACUGUGGUUGGUGUUACGUUCUGCGGAAGAAACGGAAGUUGGGGAAGAACAGCUAUCCAAAGGUGUGGAAGAGAUAAAGAAGCGUGACCACAGAGCAGCUGCAGUGGUGAAGG